CGAGCCGAGUGGACGGCCGCGUCGGGGCAACACGCUCCGUCGAGGAACGUCCGGACUCCACAGAGCAGGGUGGUGGCUAACGGCCACCCGGGGUAACCCGCGGGACAGUGCCACAGAAAGCAGACCGCCGGGGACCUCGGUCCUCGGUAAGGGUGAAACGGUGGUGUAAGAGACCACCAGUGCCCAGGGUGACCUGGGCAGCUAGGUAAACCCCACCCGGAGCAAGGUCAA
rnacentral:RNase_P_RNA from 1 species